rnacentral:rRNA from 1 species
CCUACGGGUGGCAGCAGUGGGGAAUAUUGGGCAAUGGGCGCAAGCCUGACCCAGCAACGCCGCGUGAAGGAAGAAGGCUUUCGGGUUGUAAACUUCUUUUCUCAGGGACGAAGCAAGUGACGGUACCUGAGGAAUAAGCUACGGCUAACUACGUGCCAGCAGCCGCGGUAAUACGUAGGUGGCAAGCGUUAUCCGGAUUUACUGGGUGUAAAGGGCGUGUAGGCGGGGAGGCAAGUCAGAGGUGAAAACCACGGGCUCAACCUGUGGCCUGCAUUUGAAACUGUGUUUCUGGAGUGCUGGAGAGGCAGACGGAAUUCCUGGUGUAGCAGUGAAAUGCGUAGAUAUUAGGAGGAACACCAGUGGCGAAGGCGAUCAGCUGGAAAGCAACUGACGCUGAGGCGCGAAAGCGUGGGGAGCAAACAGGAUUAGAUACCCCAGUAGUC